rnacentral:rRNA from 1 species
CCUACGGGAGGCAGCAGUGGGGAAUUUUGGACAAUGGGCGCAAGCCUGAUCCAGCUAUUCCGCGUGUGGGAUGACGGCCUUCGGGUUGUAAACCACUUUUGUAGAGAACGAAAAGUCUGUUGAUAAUACCGAUAGAUGAUGACGGUACUCUAAGAAUAAGCACCGGCUAACUACGUGCCAGCAGCCGCGGUAAUACGUAGGGUGCGAGCGUUAAUCGGAAUUACUGGGCGUAAAGGGUGUGCAGGCGGUUUCGCAAGAUGGAUGUGAAAGCCCCGGGCUUAACCUGGGAAAGCCAUACAUGACUGCAAGACUAGAGUGCGUCAGAGGGGGGUGGAAUUCCAAGUGUAGCAGUGAAAUGCGUAGAUAUUUGGAAGAACACCGAUGGCGAAGGCAGCCCCCUGGGACGCAACUGACGCUCAUACACGAAAGCGUGGGGAGCAAACAGGAUUAGAUACCCCUGUAUC